GGCAAACAAUAGCGGUUAUAACAGACGACCGGCGGCCGAGAUGAAGGUGUCGCGCGACAGCCUCGGUCGAGGCCUCGAAGUGGAGGCUGCGCUCGUGGACGAGGCAGCGUGGGAACUGAAGGAGGCUGUUGCGUCCAUGGCUGUUGGGUCUUUGGAUAUGGAUGUGGACUCGCCACCGCAUCUCCCCGUAGAGACCUUUGCUAACAGGAUUUCAUUGAGCUGGACACAGCCUUUUGAUGCAAGGCGAGAGCUCGGGGCGAUGACAAGGUUUGCCUUCCAUCCUUCUUGUGUCUUCAUCAAUGAUGAACACUAGCUGAGAUCAAGUUAAGUUUAGUUUGCAAAGAAAAGGAUGGGUCCAAGAUUCAAUCUAUAGGAAGUCAUUGGCCAAAUGGCAAAGUCCACCAGCAGGUCAUCUCUGAGACUCUGAUAUAAACUGCUUCAAUGAUUGAGCACUAUACUACAUUGCAAACAUUUUAGCACCUUGUGACUGUGUGUGUGACUUGAUGAUUAGAUGUUAUUAGUGAUUGAAAUAAUCCU